rnacentral:rRNA from 1 species
AGAGUUUGAUCCUGGCUCAGAAUCAACGCUGGCGGCGUGCCUAACACAUGCAAGUCGAACGAGAAAGUGGAGCAAUCCAUGAGUAAAGUGGCGACCGGGUGAGUAACACGUGACUAACCUACCUUCGAGUGGGGGAUAACCUAGGGAAACCUGGGCUAAUACCGCAUAAUAUCUUUGGAGUGGAAAUUCUGGAGAUCAAAAGAGCAAUUUGCUUGAAGAGGGGGUCGCGGCUGAUUAGCUAGUUGGCGGGGUAAUGGCCCACCAAGGCUUUGAUCGGUAGCCGGCCUAAGAGGGCGCACGGCCACACUGGAACUGAAACACGGUCCAGACUCCUACGGGAGGCAGCAGUGGGGAAUUUUGCGCAAUGGGGGAAACCCUGACGCAGCAACGCCGCGUGGAGGAUGAAGUCCCUUGGGACGUAAACUCCUU